rnacentral:rRNA from 1 species
AAAUUGAAGAGUUUGAUCAUGGCUCAGAUUGAACGCUGGCGGCAGGCCUAACACAUGCAAGUCGAACGGUAACAGGAAGAAGCUUGCUUCUUUGCUGACGAGUGGCGGACGGGUGAGUAAUGUCUGGGAAACUGCCUGAUGGAGGGGGAUAACUACUGGAAACGGUAGCUAAUACCGCAUAACGUCGCAAGACCAAAGAGGGGGACCUUCGGGCCUCUUGCCAUCGGAUGUGCCCAGAUGGGAUUAGCUAGUAGGUGGGGUAACGGCUCACCUAGGCGACGAUCCCUAGCUGGUCUGAGAGGAUGACCAGCCACACUGGAACUGAGACACGGUCCAGACUCCUACGGGAGGCAGCAGUGGGGAAUAUUGCACAAUGGGCGCAAGCCUGAUGCAGCCAUGCCGCGUGUAUGAAGAAGGCCUUCGGGUUGUAAAGUACUUUCAGCGGGGAGGAAGGGAGUAAAGUUAAUACCUUUUGCUCAUUGACGUUACCCGCAGAAGAAGCACCGGCUAACUCCGUGCCAGCAGCCGCGGUAAUACGGAGGGUGCAAGCGUUAAUCGGAAUUACUGGGCGUAAAGCGCACGCAGGCGGUUUGUUAAGUCAGAUGUGAAAUCCCCGGGCUCAACCCGGGAACUGCAUCUGAUACUGGCAAGCUUGAGUCUCGUAGAGGGGGUAGAAUUCCAGGUGUAGCGGUGAAAUGCGUAGAGAUCUGGAGGAAUACCGGUGGCGAAGGCGGCCCUCGGACGAAGACUGACGCUCAGGUGCGAAAGCGUGGGGAGCAAACAGGAUUAGAUACCCCGGUAGUCCACGCCGUAAACGAUGUCGACUUGGAGGUUGUGCCCUUGAGGCGUGGCUUCCGGAGCUAACGCGUUAAGUCGACCGCCUGGGGAGUACGGCCGCAAGGUUAAAACUCAAAUGAAUUGACGGGGCCCGCACAAGCGGUGGAGCAUGUGGUUUAAUUCGAUGCAACGCGAAGAACCUUACCUGGUCUUGACAUCCACGGAAGUUUUCAGAGAUGAGAAUGUGCCUUCGGGAACCGUGAGACAGGUGCUGCAUGGCUGUCGUCAGCUCGUGUUGUGAAAUGUUGGGUUAAGUCCCGCAACGAGCGCAACCCUUAUCCUUUGUUGCCAGCGGUCCGGCCGGGAACUCAAAGGAGACUGCCAGUGAUAAACUGGAGGAAGGUGGGGAUGACGUCAAGUCAUCAUGGCCCUUACGACCAGGGCUACACACGUGCUACAAUGGCGCAUACAAAGAGAAGCGACCUCGCGAGAGCAAGCGGACCUCAUAAAAGUGCGUCGUAGUCCGGAUUGAGUCUGCAACUCGACUCCAUGAAGUCGGAAUCGCUAGUAAUCGUGGAUCAGAAUGCCACGGUGAAUACGUUCCCGGGCCUUGUACACACCGCCCGUCACACCAUGGGAGUGAGUUGCAAAAGAAGUAGGUAGCUUAACCUUCGGGAGGGCGCUUACCACUUUGUGAUUCAUGACUGGGGUGAAGUCGUAACAAGGUAACCGUAGGGGAACCUGCGGUUGGAUCACCUCCUUA